CCUGAAGGCCAUGAAUCACAUAACAGAAGAGUCAGCCCUUUGGACCAAGGUUGACUAUGGGAUCGAGGGUCUUCCCCUCUGUGUUGCCUCAUGCCUGGGGUCAGUGGAAAAACUACAGAACCCUGGAGGUUGGGUCUGGCUCCAGCUGGUUUCCCUAUCUCCGUACAGCAGGGGUGUUGCCAUGACCCUGAGUAGCCUCAGCCCCGUAUCUGGCCACGUGCAUGCAGGUCUGGAGGCAUUCUGCAGACAUCCAGCCACCUGGGGCCACCUGGCGCCUCGGCUUCUCCCCUCAGAGCUCCCCUCGUCUCUGUCUCCUCUUCUUCCUCCCCCACCUACCACCCAGGGUGCAGUGCAGGGGAAACCUGCACUUAUCAAGACAAAGAACAAAAGUCGUGGGGGCAAGGAGCCAAGAGCCAUGUCUACUCUGGGGUAGGGCCUUCAGCUUCGCCCCUUUGAAAUUUCAAAUUCCAGUUUGUGGACAAAGUCCUAACUAUCUCACAAUAUAGGUCCCCAACUGCUGACCAAACUCCAGUCCAAGCAGCCACCUGGCCUCAGACUAGCCUGGCUUUGCCGUUUCCUUUGGCAGCUCCCAAGACCCGAGGGUAAGAGUCCUGGGUGCCUGGGACCUACCAGGCCAUCCUGCAUCUCCCAUGGGCCUCCCGACCCAGGGACCCCCAUUCUUAUCUGAGAGGACCACCUCUUCCUGAAGCUGGAACCUGAUACUUAUUGUUGCCAACUGAAACCAGGUGGGUACCCUCUCUGGUCCUUUCUGUUCCUUUUUGAACUCCUGUGCUGUCUCUGUCCUACCAUGGCUAAGUCCCAUCUGGACCUCCUGGAACUUCAGACUGGAAAAGGCAUCUUCCUAAGCUACCCCCUAGGGCAGAUGGAGACCCUGAAUCCCUCAAGUGAAGGGUACUUACUGCAGGCUGGGAGUUGGGUCGAAGACCUGAGGCCUCUCACCAAGCCCAGAGGGGAGAAGGGACUUGCCUUCAAGCUAAUUAGUGGUGGCAGUGUGAAUUCUGUCUUAAUAAAGGGGGACUCCGUUGCUUUUCUAUUCCACAGACUGUGGGUGGCUGUAUGUUGCUUCACUCAAUGGCUGUUGGCCACUGGCUUGUUCAUUGACCACAGUAUCUUAGAGAGGAAGAUGAGGGGGCUGGGGGCUGAAGACCAGUGGUUUUAGACGGAAACAUUUAUGUGGUUAACUGAUAACUGGGCCCCAUCCCUGGGGCCUCCAGUAGCCUCUUCCUCCCUCCUGUCCUCAGUGUGAUUACGAUGAACUUACCUGCCUGCUAAUCAUUGCUGAGCCUGUUGGUCUUGCUUUAAAAAAUUAACUGGGCAUGAGUUUGCGAUUUGUCUCACCCCUAACCCUGAAAAGGCCCCGGGUGGGCAGGAGGCCUCCUGGGUUAUGCAAGAGGCCAUUGGCCUCUCCACACAUGUCCAGCAGCCUGUGCUGCGCCCUCCGGAGGGGAGACUUUGCUCAAGAGUCAACAGUCUGCAUGUGCCCUGCUCCAGGGCCUGAGUAUAUUUGCUCUGUUACCACAGGGAGAUAAAGGUAGCUGGGAACAUCCCGUAGGGGGAUGUGAAAGUAGGGGCUCGUAGCUCCAAUGUCCAAGCCAGGGAAUCUUAGGGGAGAUGCAAGUGGAGGCUUUUGAAGCCGGGUCCUGGGGUUCCCAGGAGCCCGCAGAGGAGGGGUCACAGGAUGCCUUCUUAGGUGAGAUCUUAAUAGUUCAUUUUCAAGCUGGGAAAGUGCUGGCCUAGACCAGCAAGUGGGAGAUAGAGGCAGAGGAGGGGAUGUAGCCUGUCCAAGAAUAGGCUAUACUAGAUAGUCUGGGCUUCCUGGGACAGAGAUGACAGGUAUCUCUGGGCCUGACUGAAAUGUUAAAGGACAUCCAGGGACAAGUCUUUUCCUCUGCUGAACAGAUCUCUGAGAGUCACCAGAGGCCCAAGUUAGGGGACGUCAUCAGUGUCCUGUAGGCCUCUCAGUGGUCCCAGCAGCAGGGACAUGAGGUAGGGUACCUCCUAGCCUUCCUAGCCUUGGCUAUGUCCUAUCUCUGGAAGCAUCAGUCCGUUAGAGACACGCAGAAGUCAGAGUCCUUCCCAGACUGUCUGGGCCCUUCGGUUUCAGUUUCUUCCCUAUAAGUUGAGAAAAUGCCUAAGUUCUGAUUUCUCCCACGAGGAUGAAUAGCGCCAGAGACAAAGGUCAUGCAUGGUCAUCUGUGUCAGGAAAUUCUCACAUGGCUCUGAUGCUGGGUGUUUUCAUGAGCAGUUUGUUAAGACGGCUUCCCCAGAGAGGUUGAUAGGAAAUACUCCUAAAAUCCAACCUAACUCCAGAACCUGUAUUCCUCAUCUGUACAAAACUUUCCAGACAUGGUAAAUGCUCAAGAGAGGAAGCUAGUACAAGGGUACAGAAGCAGUUCUGGGCAGACAGCAGUGUAUUGUGGGAGGUUCUGACAGGGAAGACUUAGGGAGGUUUGGUGAGCGGAUGGUCUGGGGAAUGAUCAGGGUAGAAGCCAGGAUUUGGGUCCCGUGGGUGGUGUUUCCUGAGGUCUGUUUGCCUACGGCCAGGUGGCUUAUGACAUCUGAGCUGACAUUGCCACUGUCCUGUUUGUGUUCUGUGAGGGUGACCUUGGCCUGUGUGGGACCUGAGGGGGGUGAUGGGGAGUUCCUGUCUUCCCAAGUUCUGGUUUUGGGAAUGAGGAAUGAACCUGCUAUUCAGAAAUCAUCCUUAAUCCCCUUGACUCCUGUUCGGAGGGGCCCCAGGGAUUUGUCCGAUGUCAUCAGGAUUUGGGAGGUCAGAGACAGACCAGAAACACUGUGUAUAGUUGCACAGGGCACACAUUGCACAAAUACUCCAGUCCAGAAAGCUGAGAUGGGGGAUGGUGCAGGGGGUGGAAGUCCAGCCCUUGUUCCAAAGCCCCGGAGCCUGCUCUAUCCAAAAGGGAUACAGUUUCUUAGUGGAGCAAACGUUACAUGUAAACCAUUGGAUAGCUCAUCCCAGCUUUGCUUUUAGCUGUGUGUGGUCCUUGGGAAAGCCAUUUUCCUCUUUGGUCUAUGGGAAACCGAGCAGAAGGUUCAUUCUGGGUAAUGCAAAAUGGAACCACUUGAGACUGUAAAGGGUUUUUACAUCCUAGCUUUUAAAGAGCUUGUUCCGGAGUACGGCUGGUGGCACAAUGCUUGCCUAGAACGUAAUGGGCUCUGGACAUCCCCUAGUUCCACACAGGGAAAAAAAAGAGAUAAAAAGUGACUCCCAAGCCCCGUCACAAACCAACAGGCAAAUCUUGGGGUUGGACAGCCAGGCAGGCAAGGUAGCACACAUCUGUAACCACAGCAAGAGAAUUGGGAAUCCCAGGCCAACCUGGGCUAUCCUGAUGAGAGGAAGGCCAGCCUUGGCUUAUGUGGCCACACUCUAUCUCAAAACAAAAAUCUUGGAAUGGGAGGCACAGUUCUAGGUGUUGGAAACUUCCAGAGAAAUCUGACGGAUGGCCAUAAUUCUGAACCUCUGUGGGGCCAGAGAAGGUUGGGGAUAUGUUGGUGUAGGUCCAGGUUUGACUAUGUACAAGUCAAACCAUUGGCGAGGCUCAGUUUCCCCAUCUGUUAGGUGGGUCAGUGAUAACUUCCUCUCAAAGUCAGAAUGCUGACUCAUGGGUGAUGUUUGCACCACACCUGGCUCUGUCUCCAGUUUGUGGACAGCACUGAUGGCUAUUUGCUGUUAAUAUUGGCAACAGCAUAUUGGCUUCCAGGUCAAGGAUGAAAUGACCUGGAACUAAUUCCUAGGACGUGUGUUGCAAUCUUCACUGCACACCUGUCGCUAUGGAAUUGUGUGUGGGUUAAUAAUAAUAAUAGUUAUUAUUAUUAUUAUUAUUAUUAUUAUUAUUAUUAUUAUUAUUAUUUACUAUUUUACCACGUUUGUUUCAGCCUUUCAUCUUAAAUCCUAGCUAUGUUGCUGUGUUUCAAACUAAAACUUUAAGAAGGCACCAUCCCCUGAGACUUGCUUCCCCUGACGCUGUCCACCACCGCUCCCAGCUUCCGCACCAUCUGAGGCCAUUUCUGACUUUUUUUUUUCCCUUCCAAGCCUUCCGGGAGCCUUGCACGUAUGUCCAGGUCCUGUGCACUCCUGUGUUAUCAUGCAGCUUCCUGCACUGUCCUGCACUCUGUUUUUCUCACUCUCUGUGGUGGUCAGUAGGUUAUCUGACACCAUUAGGGCAAGCCUUGGCUAAGGAAGGGCAAGCUCAGCCUAGAAGCCUUGGUUUCUCAGGGAGUCAAGUCUCAGAUUUUUAUUUUUUGGUAGGGUUUUAUACGUGUGGCUUAGGCUGGCCCUAACCUCACUAACUAGUGGAGAAUGGCCUUGAACUUCUGGUCCUCCUGCCUAUGCCUUCUAAAUACUAGGAUUACAGAUGUGUGCUGUUGUGUAUUUAUUCAGUGCCGGAUACAGAACAUGGAGCUUCACGCACGGUAGGCAAGCAAGCACUCUACCAACUGUGUCCCCAGCCCCUGGGGUUUAAAUUUCCCUCGUAGUUGCUGGAUUGCCAGGACAUUUUGGGUCUGAAAUCCUCAGAGAGGCUAAAGAGUGAGUAAGGCAUCAAAACUGGGACCCAGAGACUAACUAUCGCCCGAGGGGCAUAGUCAGGGCUCUGUGGCCAAGCCCUCUGUCCCUGUGGAGACUGUCUAGAAUUCUCUGCCAGACUCAGGGUGAGUGUCUAUAGGGCUCAGAAGGUCCAGAGAGAAAGCAGUGAGGAGGGGAGAAAGCAGGGUCAGUGAGACAGGCUGCUUCCAGCUCCUGAGGACAGAGUGGACAAGACAGAAGUGUCAGCAGGUUUUGCUUCUCUUUAACGAUUAGAUCACGUUGAGAUUCCCUCCUCUGAAUUCUUCACCUGCUUCAGUUUACUGACUUUAAGCAGCUCACUUGCCUUUCUCUGCCUCAGUUUCCCCAACUGCAAAAUGAAGAUAAGACGGCUGAUCAGCCUUGCAGUACUCCUGAAGAGUCUUCGGGGAUCUGGACCGUAUUUUGAUCAAAUGUCCUCCACCCAUCAGAACCCUUGUCCUUCUGGGCUGGGAUGGAGACUGGGACUAAAGAUCUCCACACACCCUGAAUUCUAAGCUUCUCCCUGAGUCCUUGGUCUCUCUUCUACCACCCUAGGCUUCCUUCUGGACAGAUCUGAACUCAAGAGCAUACCUGGAGAAUCUUGAUGACCUGGAUGAGCUUGAGGCCUCCUCCUCUGUCUCUUCCCAAUCCCCAGAGCUUUGCACACACUGUAUUUAUCAGAGUAUGUAAGUAUCUGUCAUGGCCACUGCCUCCUCCUUUGGACUGCCUGUCUGCCGUGGUUUUUGAGGGACCCCACUGGUGCGUAAAGUAAGUGGUUGGCUGAAUAAAGGAGUGAAAAGCUGAAGGAACCCACUCAUCCAAGCAUUUGGCUUUGUCAGCAUUGUGACUUGGAGGCUGGAGGCAGAGCAAGGAAGACAGUGGGAGAGAGCCUUCCCUUGCAGGACUGUAGUUAGCAAUGAACAUAAAAACAUCCGCUGAAAUUGUAACUUCAGACGUCCACCUCAGAUACUUUGUAACAUAAGUAUAUCCCUAAUAAUGCAUGAACCACACUCAUACUUAAAAAAAAAAAAAAUAAAAGGGAUGGCUCAGCACGUAAAGGCAUCUGUGCCCUAGCCUGACUCUGGUGACUUAGGAACCUACCCCGGCAAAGUUGUCUCUGACCUCCACAGGAGCCUGUGACCACCUACACACCUUCACACUCACAAUCGUUUUACUUAAAAAAAGGUUAAGGAAGGGUGUGGUUUAUCCCAAGUCCAAAUGUAACUGAGAGUUGAGGCUGUGUCUGGCAACUUCAUUCUCAGCCUGGCAUAACAGGCAGCGAGGGAAGUUAAUCAAAAAGGGAAGUAUAUUUUAAAUAGUGAGCAACUGCCCAGAACAAGGAAGCUGAGAGAGAUGACAACACUUGGUGGUCUGGUGUCCCGGGCUUUGGAUAGCGUGGCCCUCUCGAGGAGGAGACAAUUUUACACCCCAGCGAGGAGUUGUUAGGAAAAGCUUAAUGCGUGCAUUACUUUGUGAGGGACGGGCAGGGGGUUGCUGGCUGCUGAGUCACUUGACAGACUGUAUUUUUGCACCUUGGAUCUGAGCCUUCGCAAUCCUGCGUAAACCCGUGGUCCCACCCCCCCCAGGUCAGCCAAUGUCCUUGGCGGGGCCGAGAGCCAGAGGAAAAGGGCCAAAGGAGCUACGCAGAGAAGCGUGGCCACCGAACAGAGCUCAGCGUCCUGAUAUCCUCUUCUGGCCUAUCCCUGUCCCCCAUUGUAGCAGGGCAAACGGAAACCAGCUCUGCAAAUCUUCCUUCCCCUGACAGCAUCCAGCAUUGAGAUUUGGUCUUCGAGGGCUCCUCCUAGCGGCCAUUAUGGGAACUGGCGUUCAGAGACUAUCGCAAACAUUCCAGGGGGCCGGCCGCCACUGUAAUCCAGUCACAGCCCACUGCACCAACCAGAAUGCAAGAUUUAAAAAAAAAAAUCUAUUCUGCAUUUCCAACUUCCUUGAAAGUUCGGGUUCCAACUCCCGGAGCCAGUGUGCGGGCAGCUUUGAGGAAGUUCCCAGAGGCUUUGUGCUGGCAUCAAACGGAAGCCUCUAUUUGCGUUCAUGGUCAUUUAGAAUGGUAUUCAUAACAUUAAAUACCACUCCCUCAUCAUAAAAGUUGAUAUGGGAGCUGUAGGCUCAGUGGUUAACAGUGCUUACUUGCAGAGGACCCUGGUUGGGCUUCCAGCACCAAUGGGGUAGCUCACAACAGUACCUCCAGUUCCAGGGCAUUUGAUGCCCUCUUCUGGCCUUCAUGGGUCCUACACACACAUGGCACAAACUCACUCAUUCACAUAUGCACACUCCACACUCACAUAUACACACGCACACAUGCGUGCUAAUAGUUAAACAAAAAUAAAGAAAAGUUAGCAUGGAGAUGUGAGCGAAGGUCAGCUCUGUUAACUAGGCUCGUGUUGAACACAGUGGAAGCUUUGUCCAGUAGGAUGGCUUGUUCCCUUCCUAAGUUCUUAUCAUCACCACCACUACAUGUGAUAUCCACCUUCAUCUUCAUCAAAAAACUCAGUUUACACUAUCGAUGACAGUAGCUAGAAUUCCCCCUACUCCACUACAGCCAACUUGGGCACAAUCACCAUGUUUGCUGGAAGCCAGCAGAAAUCUGUGCACAACUCUUCCUUGCCCACUCUGGCUUCUGGGCCAUCUGCUCUUCAUCCAAAGCUGGGCUGUGAUCAUGCGCAAACAUACCUUGCCUCCGAUCUCUUCCAUUGUUAAACUUCUAUAGUGUCCUUGCCUCUCAGCCUGAUGACCUGAAUUCAAUCCCCAGGACCCACAUGGUGGAAGGAGAGAAGUGACUCCUGCCUUUGACCUCCACGUGAUCACUGUAGAACACCCUUCCCAAUACAUACAUACACACAUACACAUAUACAUACACACACAUACAUACACACACAUACACACAUAUACACAUAUAUACAUACAUACAUACACAUAUACACAUAUAUACAUACAAACACAUACAUACACAUAUGCACACACAUACAUGCACAUAUAUGUACAUAUAUACACAUACAUACAUAUAUACACAUACAUACAUGUAUACAUACACACAUACACACAUACAUAUAUACACAUACAUACAUGUAUACAUACACACAUGUACAUACAUACACAUACAUACAUACACACAUACAUAUAUACACACAUACAUGUAUACAUACACACAUGUACAUACAUACACAUACAUACAUACACAUAUACAUACAUAUAUACACACAUACAUAUAUAUACACACAUACAUAUUAUAUACGUACAUACACACACACAUAUAUAUAUACAUAUAUACAUACACAUACAGACAUACAUACGGAAGAGAAUACCAUUAAGUACCAUUUAUAAAGCUCAUAAGACUCCAGGCACAGAGAUGUUAUUGCUGCAUCCCUACAUCUCCAACCUCAUUUCCUUCCUUUCUUUCUCCUUCCUGUCUCAGUGCCUUUGCACGUCCCCUUUCGGUUAACUAUCACUGCCACGCCCUGGAGUGAGGGUGGAUCUUCAGCUCCAGACUGGCCGCUCUCCCCACAGCAUCUGAGUUCUGUGCCUUCCUCAUUUGCAUUCUCUGUCUCUGUCAUGUCUUCCUAGAAUGUGAACUUGAAAUGGCCGUGUGUUGGGCUCCUUGUGGCUAAUCUACAUUUCUCCAGCCCCCGUUGUGGAGAUGCUCGCUGGCUGUAUUCCUCUAGUAUACCCCAAACCUUGAAUAGGUUCGAACGAAACAAAGAAGAGGCAACUAAUGGGAAUUUGGUAGCGUGCUGAAGAGGCCUUUGAGGAGAAACUGUCGGUGUCUGACAGUGAGGUCGUCAGGUAAAUGUGCUUGCCUCUCUGCCAGAUGACCUGAAUGCAAUCCCCAGGACCCACAUGGUGGAAGGAGAGAAAUCGUUUCCUGAUGUUCUCUGACCUCCACAUGCAAACUGGGGCCACGUGGCCGCACAUGUGCGUGCACAUACUGGUGAAUAAAUUAAUAAACUAUUUAUUUACCUUACAGAUAAAAA